rnacentral:lncRNA from 1 species
UUCUGAACUUCAGCCUGUGCCCUCAAGUGCUUCCGGCCGGCAUGUUCUUGGCCAGCAUUUCUAGUACGUCUGAAUUUGACAUUGAAUGUUUGAGUGCC